CUGUGGCUGGGAAUCCGGAAGGGGGUUUCGGGACAGUUCGCCCGGCAGGAGGCAGAGAAGAAGGGGCUGCUCCUGAGGUCCUGCCUCCUGCUGUCCCCACGCUUCCAUAUCGUGAGGGCCACCCUCGGGUCCCUGUCACCCAACCCCAGGACCCCGCCCCUCCGCUGAAGGGUCCAGGACCCCAGUACUCGGCGACCGCGGCCUCUCCUAAGCAUUUUACUUGUGAAAUCAGACUAGUCGGGUCUAACUCCAGUCCAAGUGUGAAUUGUGCGAUUCCGCGGCUUCCAGUCUCAGACUCCGUCAUCCUGGUCUGCAGGACUUUCUGAGAUCCUGAGCUUCGGUCCCGGCUCCUGCCUUUGGAGGAGACUCAGCUCCGGCUCCGCCAGGGCCCGUACAGGUGGUCUGCGACCCCGCGCCCACGACCAAGUCUUCCGACUGCUCGGCCUGCCUUCUGGUCCCCCCGCGGACCGGAACGUCGGGACCUCUCCAUCCACAAAGCCAGAUUCCAUUUGGGGCUUUUGCAACAUGCAAAGUUCUACAGAAAAAGUGUCCUUUUCACCUUGUUGUAUGUCCCUGAAACCAAAGGAAGGAGUUUGGAACAAAUCACAGCGCAUUUUGAGGGGCGAUGAUAUCCCUUUUGUGUGAGUGGCUGUUCCUCCUAGCUGGGCCAGCUUUGGACUUCAUGGGGAAUGGAACCAGCCUUUGGCUCUGAGCUGAGCCUGAGCUUGGGGCCCCUGACAGUCCCAGGCCCUAGGGAAGUCCAGAACCAGGAGCACAGCCACUGGGAGCCUUGGCCUCCGGGUCCCUCCUUCCUGUCCAGCUUGCAGCAGCCUAUACCCAGAGCUGUAAGGUUCACCAGCCUCCGGGUCCAGUUCCUGCUGCUGCUGUGGGGACUCACGACCAUCUGGGAGGAGCCCUGUGGUCAGCCCUCCACAUGCCGCCUCCUUCAUGACACUAAAGCAGCAGGGGUUGGGGGGCACUUCUUCACUCCUCAUUUCCUGGCUGGAGAUGCUUUUGGAGGCUGGGUGCUGGGCACCUGGUUGCUCCUCUCACAUGGCUGCAUUAUCAGGAAGGAACUUUGUCAAAUAAAGAUUUGACUCAGAAAAUCAGGUCACGACCUCUCUGUGUGAGUCCAGUUUGAGAAGGGUGUAUUCCGUCCUCCUGUAAACCAGGCCUCUUGGGCCUGCCCAGAACAUCCUAUGCAUUUACUUCCUCGUGCUCA